AACUGGUUGAUCCUGCCGGACCCGACUGCUAUCAGAGUGGGACUAAGCCAUGCGAGUCAACAUAGCAAUAUGUGGCAUACGGCUCAGUAACACGUAGUCAACAUGCCCAGGGGACGUGGAUAACCUCGGGAAACUGAGGAUAAACCGCGAUAAGUCACUACUUCUGGAAUGGGUAAUGACUCAAAUCUACAUGGCCCCUGGAUUGGACUGCGGCCGAUCAGGCUGUUGGUGAGGUAAUGGCCCACCAAACCUGUAACCGGUACGGGCUCUGAGAGGAGGAGCCCGGAGAUGGGCACUGAGACAAGGGCCCAGGCCCUAUGGGGCGCAGCAGGCGCGAAACCUCUGCAAUAGGCGAAAGCCUGACAGGGUUACUCUGAGUGAUUUCCGUUAAGGAGAUCUUUUGGCACCUCUAAAAAUGGUGCAGAAUAAGGGGUGGGCAAGUCUGGUGUCAGCCGCCGCGGUAAUACCAGCACCCCGAGUGGUCGGGACGUUUAUUGGGCCUAAAGCAUCCGUAGCCGGUUCUACAAGUCUUCCGUUAAAUCCACCUGCUUAACAGAUGGGCUGCGGAAGAUACUAUAGAGCUAGGAGGCGGGAGAGGCAAGCGGUACUCGAUGGGUAGGGGUAAAAUCCGUUGAUCCAUUGAAGACCACCAGUGGCGAAGGCGGCUUGCCAGAACGCGCUCGACGGUGAGGGAUGAAAGCUGGGGGAGCAAACCGGAUUAGAUACCCGGGUAGUCCCAGCUGUAAACGAUGCAGACUCGGUGAUGAGUUGGCUUCUUGCCAACUCAGUGCCGCAGGGAAGCCGUUAAGUUUGCCGCCUGGGGAGUACGGUCGCAAGACUGAAACUUAAAGGAAUUGGCGGGGGAGCACCACAAGGGGUGAAGCCUGCGGUUCAAUUGGAUUCACGCCGGA
rnacentral:rRNA from 1 species